rnacentral:rRNA from 1 species
AAGAACUUGCCUCACAGAUAGGGACAACAUUUGGAAACGAAUGCUAAUACCUGAUAUUAUGAUUAUAUGGCAUCGUAUAAUUAUGAAAGCUAUAUGCGCUGUGAGAGAGCUUUGCGUUCCAUUAGCUAGUUGGAGAGGUAACGGCUCACCAAGGCGAUGAUGGGUAGCCGGCCUGAGAGGGUGAUCGGCCACAAGGGGACUGAGACACGGCCCUUACUCCUACGGGAGGCAGCAGUGGGGAAUAUUGGACAAUGGACCAAGAGUCUGAUCCAGCAAUUCUGUGUGCACGAUGAAGUUUUUCGGAAUGUAAAGUGCUUUCAGUUGGGAAGAAAAAAAUGACGGUACCAACAGAAGAAGUGACGGCUAAAUACGUGCCAGCAGCCGCGGUAAUACGUAUGUCACAAGCGUUAUCUGGAUUUAUUGGGCGUAAAGCGCGUCUAGGUGGUUAUGUAAGUCUGAUGUGAAAAUGCAGGGCUCAACUCUGUAUUGCGUUGGAAACUGUGUAACUAGAGUACUGGAGAGGUAAGCGGAACUACAAGUGUAGAGGUGAAAUUCGUAGAUAUUUGUAGGAAUGCCGAUGGGGAAGCCAGCUUACUGGAC